AAAUUCAAACCAAAACAACCAACACCAAUGUUUCACAUUCAUAUAACUAAUAUUUAUAUCAUUAACAUAAUUUUUAACUUAAUAACUAUCAUAGCAUCAUUCUAAAUUGAUUAAAAACUUCAUUCAUUUAACCAUCUAAAUCUUAUAAUUCAUCCUUCACUACCCAAAGUAAUAUACAUAUUCAAGUGACUAAACAACACCUAUGUACAUGCCACCUUUACCCAAAAGAAAAAUAUACAUCACCAACUUUGUGUUGGAGUCGGGAUUGUUUUGGAUGCUGAGCCGGGACACUUGACUUCUACUAACCUGCGCACGGAAACAACAAUACGCUGAGUAUGGAUAUACUCAGUGGUAUUACCAUAAUUCAAAAUAUAUCAUCAAUAAUAAAAAUAUAAAUAUUAAAAUACAAAACAAUUAAUUUUUUAAAUACUAAUUCAUACUUUAUUUUUAUUUUUAUUUUCAUCAUUUCAUAAUAACAAUUCAAUUUAAUUAUUCGUCAAUCAAUGUAUUUUUCACAAACUUGAAUUUAAACCACUUAUGAACAUUUAGCUCAUACUUUUCUCUUUCUAUCACAAUUCCAAUUUCUAUUCAUAAUUCAAUUUCCUUUUUUUUAUUUCAAUGCCUUAAAUUCACAUUUCAAUUUUUCACCCUAUUAACGUAAAUCGGACUUUGGCGGAUACACGGAUCCAACCAAACACACCAAUAUGGCACCCAGUGCCUCAUCGGAUAGUUCAAAGUAAUAGUUGACACCCAGUGUCUCAUCGGCCUAGCCGAAGUAAAGUUGGUACCCAGUACCUAAUCGAAUCUAUCCGAAGAAAUUUAGUGACACCCAAUGUCUCAUCGACUCGAGGUCGAGGCAUCCCUGAACACUUCUAAUCUUAUGGCAUGCCAACUAUAUCCGACUCAGCCCGACUAGUUAAUAGGGUAUUCAAUUCACUUUCUCAAUUCUAUAUCACUUUCAAUUCACAAUUCAAAUCACCAUUCAUUUUUCAAUCAAUACACUUUUCAAAUAAUCACAUAUUCCAUAAUUCACUUAUUCUAUUCAAUUUAAUUCAAUUUGCAUCACUUUCAUUUUCACUCAAUAUUCAUAUCAAUUUCACAUACUUACCUCAAGUCUUACUUACCAUACAUAACAAUUAAAAAUUUAGCAAUCAAUAAUAAUUAAAAUUCGAAUUAUAGUAAUACACAGCGUAAUUCUCCCGUUUUAGUCCUCAAUGACUUUCUCCUUUCCUUUUGAUGCUGAUGCUUCAGGUUCUUUGUUGGCUACGAAAAUAAUAGUAAUUGACAUUAUUAUUUACAGCAUUAAUUAUAAUAAAUAAUUAAAUUUCUAAACAAUUCCUACCUUAUUCCCAAUUUAAUCCUAACUAAACUUAAUUAUUUUUUUAAUCCAAUUCACUCUCUUUUUCUAUUCAAAUUUUGUCUAAACUUAUAUUUAACUAUAAAAUUUCCGGCAUAUUUCCCUAAUUUCGAAAUUUCUUCAAUUUAGUCCCUACAACAUAAAACUUAUAGCCUAGUUUACAAUUUAAUCCCUUAAUCAAUUCUAACUUAGAAUUCAUUCAAUUAAAUCCCUAAUUCCAUAAUUUGUCCAACAUGAACCAUAUUUGAAAACAUAUGAACUCUUGAACUAUCAACUUAAUUUCAUCAAAAUCUUGUUUCAAAGCUUCUAAAACAUCAAGAUUAACUAAAAAGGACUUAAUUGACUUACCAAAUUAACUCCAAGCUUCAAAUCCUUAGUUUUCUCUUUUAUUUUUCUUUCCCUUUUUCUUUCUCUUUUUCUCCCCUGCUUCCCGUUUUCAAUUCUGUUUCUAUUCCCUUUUGUUUCUUUAUUUCUCUUUUAUAUUUAUUUGCUUUACUUAUUUAAUUAGCAUAUAUUAUAAUAUAUUUAUUUUAAAUAUCUAUUUUAACAUCAUUUACAUAUUUUACAAUUGUACACAUAUUUAAUUCUACAUUUGUACCAAUAAUUUUAUUACAUUUGUCAUUAUUUAAUUUGCUUCUCAAACAAAAAUCUCAUAAUUUAAAAUUUUAAUUAUUUAAUUAACAAAUAUCUUUUUACUUAAAUUAUAAGUAAUUUAGUAUUUAAAUUACAAAUGUACCAAUAUAAUUUUUACACGUAUAUUUUAUUACUAUAUAUUUAUCAACUAUUUAAUUUAUUUAAAAUAUAAUAUUCAUUAAAUAAUCAUAAUAAUAAUAAAACCAUAAUAAUAAUAAUUUUAAUAUAUAUAAUACAUACAUUCAAGAAAAAUCUUGAUUUUUCUUCCAUUUGCCGCCUCAAUUUAUGUAAAUGGCUUAAUUGCCAUUUUGAUCCUUUUUAUUUUCUAUUUCUUUAGAAUUAAACUUUUACCCCUUUUUCAAUUUAGUUCUUUUUGCUAAUUAUUCUAAAUUAAGCUAAUUUCACCUAAUUAAAUCCUAAUUAGACACACCACUAGGCUCAUAAAUAUUUUUAAUAAUUAUUGUCGAACUUAUUUCACUAAGACGGAGGCUCUAUAACUCACUUUUCUGGUGCCCGUGGAUUUUGGGUCAUUACAAACUGUGACCGCCACCUUCACCGAUGGUUGAUCGAACCACUCCGUAAUUUCAGAAAACAUGCUCAAAUGCAUCCCACUCAAUAAGGAACAAUCAUACAUCAUUACAGAAUUUGAAGGGUACAACUGCAAGUCUACACAUUAUAUCUACUUUAUCUCCAAUCCAAGACAAGCACAACAUCACUACAUAGAAAAAGCUUUCAUAUACAAUUUGAUUUCCAUUGAACCUAUUAUCAAAUUUCAGCAAAAUAUAUUCAAAUUAGGGAUAGUAAAUGUCAAAAAUUUAGAAAUGAAAUUAUUUUUCAUCAAUUACAUAAAUAAAAGUAUAUUAUGAUUACAGAUACCCUCUAAUAGCUAGUAUUAAUUUUUAACCAGUCACAUGAUUUAUUUUUAGAAACAUGAGUAAAUGGAAAGCAGGAUGUAAAGCAUUGCCUGCGCACUCUCAAGCCAGACCCUGCUUUAUAUUUUGAUUAUCUCUGCUUCUGAACUCUCUUGUCUCGUAUUGGCAGCUCAAUAGGCUGCACACUCUCGUAUAGUAAGACCCUGCACACUCUCGUAUUGGCACUCUCUCGUAGUCUAUCCCAACUAUCAAUUAUGGAUCCAAUCAAAAGGAAAGUUGAUUCAAGUGAAGUAAUUCCCACACUGUAGGGAUAAAGACAGCUCUCAGGAGACAUAGAAGCUGAGCUUUCUUGAGAAGAAGGUUGGACAGGCCAAACAUUGAUCAUUAUCUGUAUAAGCUCCAUUGCCAUUAUUUUUCUCUUAUAAGGAGCAGAAGGAUAACAAGAGAAGAACAGAAAACAACUCAACCACCUCAUAAAAUUAAAUAGCUCCUCUGUUCUACUAACUGUAUUAUCCUCAUUUCCCUGACAUAGACACAACUCGUUAAUUUCAUUGUUCAUACGAGGCUGCCAGCUUCCCUACUUAAAUUGCCUCUACAAGGCUGUACGCACCCGAGAAAAGAACUUCCUAAACAAGCUGUGCCACUGAGCAUGAGAUCUUUUUCAACAGGUAUGCAUGUACUAUUUCAAAUAGCAGGUCAGGACUUAUAUCCAGCAUAGUCUUUGCUCCAAACCUCUUGGUCAACAGAGCUAAAGAAACAUAUCUCCCCUUACAACGUAGCCCUAAACGAAGCAGAUCUGAAGCAAUCUUUUGUAGGAAUGUCUUUAUUUUCUCACUACCCUCUGCCCUACAAAGAGAGGACUGAAUGUCUAAGAAAAGAUCAAAUAUAAGAUGAACUUGUUUGACUGUUUGACUUAGAGGAUCUUCCAAGUUAUUCCAUAUUAUUUUCAGCAUUUUGGUUUCCAUAUCCUCCGGCAAUGGGAUGUAAUUUUCGGAUGCAACUGUAAGGUUUGCCAGCAUACAGGUCUUAAUCUGUUGCAAACAAAUUUGCAUUACAGUUAACACAUGGAAGUUAAAAUGCCUAUCUGUGGGGUUCUCACAGUAAUUACACAGCUCAGGCAAAAUCCCAUCAUACAAUAUAGUCUUCCCAGAACAAGCAACAUUUCCAUGGGACUCAAUAUCAUUACAAGUUUCCCUAUAUACAACAAAAUGUGUAUUUAGAACCAUUCUUGGAACAGCAGUAAGAAUGCCUCUAAUUAAACAAAGUCUAUUCAAUCCAAAGAGAUUACGUAUGUCAAGGCAAACAUCUCCUUUAUAAGGAACUUUGCUAAUAACAUUGCUAAAUGAAUCCUAAUGCAAGAACUACUAACAAUUUGACCAAAUAUACCUUCAAUGAUGAACAGACCAAGCUCUUGAUCACUGAGGCGAACUUGAAAAGCAGCAAAAAAACUCACAUCAGACGCCACAAAGCAGUCCCUCAAAAAUGCCACUGAUUUCAAAAGACUUAUCAAAACCCCUAAAGCCAUAUCCAUUACAUUAGAAUCAUCACCGCCCAAUUUUUUAAAUUUAUCUGGGAACUUCUAAAACAAGUAAUACAUACAAGGUAAAGCCUUUUGACACUGCUCCAGAACUAUAGGAAAAGGUCUAGGCCACCCUUCAGUCUCCAAAAUCAUAUUUUUCAACCCCAAAAUAGCAUCCCAACAAACCAAAACAGCACAAUCUUGAAUCACAUCAACAAAGAACCCCAACUUUGGCAUCCCUAUUACUGAUAAAGCCACACGUGACACAGAGAAAGGCUUCUUCUUAUCACUCAUUGUACCAUACUCGUUACAAAGUAAUUUGAAACACUCAUCAAUAACAGGUUGGAAAACAUUCUUGGUUUUAGCAGAAAAAAUUUAAUCCCAAACCCAGAAAAAAAUUAAAAAUAAAAAAACAGAGAGGCAUAAAAAUAAAGAAACAGACAAAGAAAUCACGAAUAAAAAAAUAAAAAUCGAAAUAGAAAAAGAAGUUGUAAAGAGAAGAUUACCUUCUGGGAGAGAUUCGGAAUCGAGAAGAUUAAAAGAGAAGACGAUUGAAAAUUUUCAAUUUUGAUGAGAAACUUGGGGGAAUUUAUCACGGAUCAAAGAAAACUCUUACCGAAAAUGAUAGGGGAAGGGGAAGUGUUACAGGCCAAUUUUGACCCAACAUUAAAACCCAAUACAAAUUAACCCAAAAUAUACCCCAAGCCCAAUACCUAAACUAACCCAAACAACAAACCCAACAAAACCUAACUACCUAGCUCAAGCCCAAUUAGCCCAUUAGUUAAACUAGGGUUUCAGAAAAGUUGAAACCCUAGCCACCCUCUCCCCACUUGCCUCUGACGACUCUGCCACCACCACCCACCGCCACCUGCUCCCAUUCCGUCACCUGCAAAAAGAAGCACAAAACACGCAAUAAGCAGUAGCAAACCAGGUGUAAAUGGCUAUAUAAGCCAUGCCAUAUUUUGUAUUUUCGCUCUCUGGACCUUUUUUGAAUACGAAAACUAGAAAUAAAAAGUAGAUUCAAACACUAAUAAAAGUACUCAGCAAGGAGUACAAAAAUAAAGAAAUAGAUUUGGACGAAAGGUUUUUAUUUUCCCUUCUAUUUAUUUUGCUUCUCUUCGAAUCUAUCUACACUUAGAUCUAUUUAUUUUCUUUUAUUUUUUUACACAUAUAUAUAUUAAAAAUACAAAAAAAGGGAAAUUUUUACCUUUUCCGGCCACCGUGCAUGGUGGCCUGCGGCGGCGGCGGCGACGGUGGCCGGUGGCAGACUGUGGUGGCGGCAGGUCUGAGCUCUCACCGGAGCAAGGGCUUCUACAGAGAAAAAAAAGAAAGAAGAAAGCUUUUUUUUAAAAAAACAGAGGAGAAAA
rnacentral:lncRNA from 1 species